rnacentral:lncRNA from 1 species
GCAACAAUGAGCAAAGCCCAUACCGCAUAGUCAGCUAUAAAAGGCCCCCGAUAAGACAAUGUAAAACAAUUCAAAUGAGAAAACUAACGGCCUUAUUUAUGUAAAAAAAUAAAUGAAAAACAAAUAUGUAACACAUAAACAAACGACAACCACUGAAUUACAGGCUCCUGACUUGGGACAGGCACAUACAUAAAUAAUGUGGCAGGGUUAAACAUGUUAGCGGGAUCCCAACCCUCCCCCUAACCUGGGACAGUGGUAUAACAGUACAACAUAAGAACGAAAUAUAAAAAUCAGUUGAAAAAGGCUUAACUCAUCAGAUGGACAAAAAUACAAGUGGAAGU